UACGUAGGUGGCAAGCGUUGUCCGGAUUUACUGGGCGUAAAGGGAGCGUAGGCGGAUACUUAAGUGGGAUGUGAAAUACCUGGGCUUAACUUGGGUGCUGCAUUCCAAACUGGGUGUCUAGAGUGUUGGAGAGGAAAGUGGAAUUCCUAGUGUAGCGGUGAAAUGCGUAGAGAUUAGGAAGAACACCAGUGGCGAAGGCGACUUUCUGGACAAUAACUGACGCUGAGGCUCGAAAGCGUGGGGAGCAAACAGGAUUAGAUACCCUGGUAGUCCACGCCGUAAACGAUGGGUACUAGGUGUAGGAAGUAUCGACUCCUCCUGUGCCGCCGUUAACACAAUAAGUACCCCGCCUGGGGAGUACGGUCGCAAGAUUAAA
rnacentral:rRNA from 1 species